UCUCGUGCCUCGGCCGCGGAUACGUGUCCGCCCCGCCCUCGUCGAAUACCUGUCGCGCAACGCCAAUUAUCAUGCUCACCGUAGCGUCGUGUCUGUGAGCACUGAAGUCCAGCAGGAUGGCGUCGAGGUUGCCGCGUGACGCGGCGUCGUCGACGUCGCCAACGACGAUGAAGCUCUCAGUUCCCUCGUGCAGGACCACGAUCUCGUCAUCAGCCUGCUGCCGUACGACAUGCACGGCCGCGUGGCGAAGCACUGCAUCCGCCACCAGACGAACAUGGUGACAAGCAGCUACGUGACGCCGGAGAUGCGCGAGCUCGAG